CUAGAGAAAGAGCUUGUGAGGCCUCACCCCUCCUGAGUAUAUGCACAGUUAAAAGCUUCUGAGACAAGAGAUCUUCCUCAAUGAUUUAACUACAUAACUUGAGAACACUGAAUAUUGAGUGACUCCACAAUAUUGAGUUAUACAACUCCAGCCCAUCUACGUUUUAAAUCAGAAAUGUUGUUGAUGGCCAUGAUCCAUGUAGUACCAUGACACCUUGUGGAUUUUGCUACAAGAGACCAUGUUUAAAAUAUUGGUCCAUCUUGCUGCUUAAGAUAAUGUUGAAGAAAGUGUUAUGUGCUGCUACAAUGGUCAAGUUUUAAGUCUAUGACCUGAUCUGCAAAUUGAAGCUAUUUUGAAAUAACUGAUGACUGUUCACAACCACCAACCAACCAUAUUGAUGUCUAUAGUUCCUGUUGCCAAUGAAGACCUUGUAAUACCCAUGAUCCCUGUUGCCAACUGAGACCCUGUUGAAUUCCAUGGUCAAUACUGCCUCUUGAGACCAAGUUCAGAGAAGUAUUCUAUUUUUCAACCAAAAACCACUAUUAUGUGUGAAACUUAAACAGUUCAAUGGGGAGUUAUAUUGAUGUCACAGAACCCUGCUGCUACUGUAGAUAAAUAAUCAGUGGAAUCUUUACUGAUAAGUACUAUCCGUGAUUCAGCCCAAUUUAUGAGAAGUGUUCUGCCAUGAAUAACCAUUUUGAUGUCACACUGAAUCCUGACACUAGAGGUUUAUGUACAUGGUCAUAUCUUCUUUCUGAAACUAUCUUGAUGUCCUUGAUAUUCCCAUCAAUAGACACCAUGGUUUAUCUCAGAUCACUACUACCACUGGCAAACAGGCCAUGGGCAAACCCUAAUGCCACUUUGGACAGUUGAUGACAUCAGAGAUCCCAACUGCCAAGCAACAAAUAUUUACAUCAAUCAUCUAUGCUGUCACUGGAAACCAUGUUAAGAUCCAGAGUCAGUGUUGUCUUUGAAGAGCUUCAUGAUGUCUGAGAUCCCUCAACCAGAAGAAUUUAUUAUGAAGAUCAUUAUAUGUAAGGGAGCCUAAAGUAACAAUGAGAUAAGUGCUAUUUGCUGCUACUGAAGAUGCCUUUGAUACCAGUGAUCUUAUCAGCAACCUGAAGCUAUGUUGAUGUCAGUGCUGCAUGCUGUGACAUGCGAUCAUGAUGUUGUCCAUUAUUCCUAUUGCUGACUGAGACCCUGGUGAUGGCUAUGAUACGUGUUGAUUCUAGAGAAACUGCUGAAAUCCAAAGUCCAUACUGAUAUGUGAGGUCAUAUUGAGGUAAGUAUUCUUAGAUGGCACUGGAGAUCGGAUUGAUAUCUGAGAGCCUACCUAUCACAGGAAAUUUGGCUGAUGUUCCUGAUAUAUGCAUGUACCUCUGAUGUCAAACAUGCAAUGUUCUUUGAUGUAUGUGAUACUCCCUACAAGAAGAAGCUAUGUUGAUGUCAGUACUACGUAUUGUGACCAGCAAUCAUGCUUGAGUCCAUUAUUCCUAUGGCUGAUGGAGACCCUGGUGAUGGCUAUAAUUGGUGUUGCUUCUUGAGAAUCUAAUGAAUUCCAUAUUCCAUACUCACACUCACGAUCAUACUGAGGUAAGUAUUUUUAGCUGGCACUGAAGAUCAGACUGAUGUCUGAGAUCCUACUUGCCACAGGAAAUUCAGUUUAUGUUCCUGAAUCAUGCAUGUAGCCCCCGAUGUCGAACAUGCAAUAUUCUUUGACACCUGGGAUCCUACCUGCAAGAAGCUAUUCUGAUAUCAGUGCUGCAGCAGUGCCCAGGAAUCAUGCUGGAGUCCAUUAUUCCUACAGCUGGUGAUGGCUAUAAUUGGUGUUGCUUGCUGAGAAUCUAAUGAAUUCCAUGCUCCAUACUCAAACUCACAGUCAUGUUGAGGUAAGUAUUUUUACAUGGCACUGGAGAUCAGAUUGAUAUCUGAGAGCCUACCUGACACAGGAAAUUCAGUCGAUGUUCCUGAUCCAUGGAUGCAGCACUAGAUAAUGGCAAUGUAAUGAAGUUUAAUGUCUGUGAUCCUAUCUGUAAGAAGAAGCCAUUUUGGUGUCAGUGAUAUAUUCUGUGACCAGCAAUCAUGAAGGAGUGUAUUGUUCCAAUUGAUGAUGUGGACCGUGGUGAUGCCUAUUGUCUGUGCUGUUGCUUGAGACACUGAGGAAUUCAAAAGUCCAUACUAAUGCCCAAACUCAUUUUGAGGCCUCUAACAGCCAUGAUAUCAGUGAUCCCAGCAUCCUCAUAGGAACAAAAUAAUGUGAGUGCCUCCAACUGCCAAUGGAAUUAUUACUGAUGUAUGUUAUCCAUGCUUCUGCGAAUUUGUGAGAGGUUUACUACCAUCUGAAACUAUAUCGAUAUCAAAAGAAUCCUGCCACCAGAGAAGAGACUUCUGUAGAUGGUUCCACAUGUCCUCUAAAAAAGUCUUGAGAGGCCCGAUGCAUUGGUAUAUCCUAGAUCUAUGAUGCCACAGGCAAACAGGUCAUCAGUAAUCUGACUGCUACUUUAGACUUGAUUAAUGACAUGUGUGAUCCCAACUGCCAAGCGAAGUGUAUCGACAUCAUUCAUCCAUGCUUGCCUUGGUAAACAAGGUUGAGAUCCAUAGUCACUAUUGUCUUUGGAGAGCUAUCUGAUGUCUGGGAUCCUUCAGCCAGAAGAAUCUAUUGUGAAGGUCAUGACCAGUAAUGCCACCUAAGUUCGUUAUGGGGUAAAGGAUGUGUGCUGCUACUGGAGAUGCCUUUGAGGCUUAUGAUCUUACGUGCAUCCUGAGGCUACAUUGAUGUUGGUGCUUCAUGCUGUAACCAGCAAUCAUGAUGGAAUUCAUUGUUCCCAUUGCUGAUGGAGCCUUUGGUGAUGGUUAUGAUCUUUCUUGUUGCUUGAGAAUCUGAUGAAUUCCAAAGUCCAUGUUGAUGCCAGUAGUCAUAUUGGGGUAAGUAGGUAAGUAUGCAAAGCUGUCAUUGGAGAUCACAAUGCUAUCUAAGAUCCUCCCUGCCACAAGAAAUUCUUUUGAUGUCCCUGAUGCAUGUAUGUAGAGCCUGCUGUCAUCCAUAUAAUGUAAAAGAUCUCCACUGCCACCAAAGGAGGUAGUGAUGUCAAGGAUCUAUACUGCCACUGAGGAAGAUAUUUAUGACCAUAAUUUAUUCUUCCCUGUGAAUUGAUGCCGAUGUCACUGACAUAUACCUGUCAAUAGAUACUGUUAUAUUCCCCAAGAUCCAUGUGCCAAUGGCAGCCCUGUCAGUGAUCCCAGAUACCACUGGGAACCAUGUUAAUACCACUAAUCCAAAGUGCCUAUAGAAACAAGGAUGAUAUGGUUCAUCCAUGCUGCUGACAGUGGCCAAGUUGAAAUCUACAGUCAGUGAUUCUUUUGAAAUCAUUGUUAUUAUCAGGCAUCCCUGGGAUCAGUAGAGUCUACCAGCAAGGCUAAUGAAGCUGCCUCAGUUCAGAUUGAGCUGCAUUUUCUGAGAUAAGUUAUAUUGAAGUCAUAUAGUGGAAAAACAUACUAUUGUAUGUCCAUGAGAAAUUAGAGUUGCAGGAGCCAUGAUAUCAGUGAUUUCCUGUUGCCUCUUAUGACCACCUUAAUUUGUCUCUGGCUGCCAAUAGAAUUUUUACUUCUGUAAGUAUUGCAUACUUCUGAACAAGUUAAGAGGAGUGUCCGGCAAUCCAUACACAUUUUGAUGUAAUGAUGUAUUCUUCCACUAGAGUAAAUGUUUCUGUACAUGGUCAUACCUGUACUGAAACUAUCUUGAUGUCCCUGAUCCUACCUGGCAACAUUCACCAGAAUAUAUCCUAGAUCCCUGUUGCUACAGGCAACCACUUGUGAGUGAUGUGGAUUGCCACUUUUGAAUAGAUUGAUGAUAUAUGUGAUCCCAAUUGCCAAGGAAAAUUGUACUCACCCAUGCUGCCACUGCUAACCACGUUGAAACCCAUAGUCUGUGUGGUCAUUGAAGAGCUCCAGGAUGUCUGUGAUCCUUCAUCCAGUAGAGUCUAUUGUGAAGUUGCUGGUCAGUACUGCUUCCUAAGGGCAUCAUGAGGUAAGUGCUGUGUACUGCUACUGGAGACCAUUUCAUGUGCAUGAUCCUACCUGGAACCGGAAGCUAUGCUGAUAUCAGUACUGAAUGCGGUGAGCAGCAAUCAUGAUGGAAUCAUGGUUCAUGUUGCUGAUGGAAUCCGAGAUGGUGGCUAUGAUCUGCACUGCUGCUUGAGAACACCUUAAGUUGAAGUGUCCAUAUGCACUCAAGGCCAUAUUGAGGCCUGCAGUAGUCAUGGAACUGAACACUGGUGCUUCUUGGGACCACAGUGAUAUGAGUGUUUUCAACUAUAGUUGGAAUCUAUUGUGAUGUCAUGGAUCAGAUCAUUGCUCAACCAUGUUGAGAUCCAUAGUUAGUUUUUGUCUUGGAAGAACUCGCUGAUGUCUAAGAUUCCUCAUUCCAGAGGGGUUGAUAGUGCUGUUCAUGAUUGAUAGUCAAGUGGAAGGUCUUAAUGAGGUAAAUGUUGUGUGCUGCUCCUGGAUACACCUGUGAUACCUGUGAUACUACCUACAACCUGAAGUUAUGUUGAUGGCAGUGCUACAUGAUAUGGCCAGCAAUCAUGAUAGAAUCCACUGCUCCUCUUCUUGAUGGAGACCAUGAGGCCAGAAGAACAUGUGGUGAUGUUGUGGGUCAAUACUGCUGCCUCAGGUCAUGUUAAAUGGCAUGUUUUGAGAUAUUAUAUGUUGAGUUCACAUAUAGUGUGGCAACACACUCUGUUGUAUGAUCAUGAUACUUCAAACAGCCAUGGCAGUCAUCCCUCCUGCCACUUGGGAUCAAAUUGGUAUGCAUGGCUCUAAAUGCCAACGGAAUCCUUACCGAUGUCUUUUAUAUAUGCUUCUGCCAAUUUUCUGAGAUGUGUUUUGCCAUCCAUAACCAUUUUGAUGUCACAUCAUGCUGCAUCGUGCCACUAGAGAAGAGAUUUCUGUAGAUGGUUCUACAUGUCCUCUAAAAAAGUCUUGAGAAGCCCGAUGCAUUGGUAUAUCCUAGAUCUAUGAUGCCACAGGCAACCAGGUCAUCAGUAAUCUGACUGCUACUUUAGACUUGAUUAAUGACAUGUGUGAUCCCAACUGCCAAGGGAAGUGUAUCGACAUCAUUCAUCCAUGCUUGCCUUGGUAAACAAGAUUGAGAUCCAUAGUCACUAUUGUCUUUGGAGAGCUAUCUGAUGUCUGGGAUCCUUCAGCCAGAAGAAUCUAUUGUGAAGGUCAUGACCAGUAAUGCCACCUAAGUUCGUAAUGAGGUAAAGGAUGUGUGCUGCUACUGGAGAUGCCUUUGAGGCUUAUGAUCUUACGUGCAUCCUGAGGCUACAUUGAUGUUGGUGCUUCAUGCUGUAACCUGCAAUCAUGAUGGAAUCCAUUGUUCCCAUUGCUGAUGGAGCCUUUGGUGAUGGUUAUGAUCUUUCUUGUUGCUUGAGAAUCUGAUGAAUUCCAAAGUCUAUGUUGAUGCCAGUAGUCAUAUUGAGAGUAAAUGUUUCUGUACAUGGUCAUACCUGUACUGAAACUAUCUUGAUGUCCCUGAUCCUACCUGGCAACAUUCACCAGAAUAUAUCCUAGAUCCCUGUUGCUACAGGCAACCACUUGUGAGUGAUGUGGAUUGCCACUUUUGAAUAGAUUGAUGAUAUAUGUGAUCCCAAUUGCCAAGGAAAAUUGUACUCACCCAUGCUGCCACUGCUAACCACGUUGAAACCCAUAGUCUGUGUGGUCAUUGAAGAGCUCCAGGAUGUCUGUGAUCCUUCAUCCAGUAGAGUCUAUUGUGAAGUUGCUGGUCAGUACUGCUUCCUAAGGGCAUCAUGAGGUAAGUGCUGUGUACUGCUACUGGAGACCAUUUCAUGUGCAUGAUCCUACCUGGAACCGGAAGCUAUGCUGAUAUCAGUACUGAAUGCGGUGAGCAGCAAUCAUGAUGGAAUCAUGGUUCAUGUUGCUGAUGGAAUCCGAGAUGGUGGCUAUGAUCUGCACUGCUGCUUGAGAACACCUUAAGUUGAAGUGUCCAUAUGCACUCAAGGCCAUAUUGAGGCCUGCAGUAGUCAUGGAACUGAACACUGGUGCUUCUUGGGACCACAGUGAUAUGAGUGUUUUCAACUAUAGUUGGAAUCUAUUGUGAUGUCAUGGAUCAGAUCAUUGCUCAACCAUGUUGAGAUCCAUAGUUAGUUUUUGUCUUGGAAGAACUCGCUGAUGUCUAAGAUUCCUCAUUCCAGAGGGGUUGAUAGUGCUGUUCAUGAUUGAUAGUCAAGUGGAAGGUCUUAAUGAGGUAAAUGUUGUGUGCUGCUCCUGGAUACACCUGUGAUACCUGUGAUACUACCUACAACCUGAAGUUAUGUUGAUGGCAGUGCUACAUGAUAUGGCCAGCAAUCAUGAUAGAAUCCACUGCUCCUCUUCUUGAUGGAGACCAUGAGGCCAGAAGAACAUGUGGUGAUGUUGUGGGUCAAUACUGCUGCCUCAGGUCAUGUUAAAUGGCAUGUUUUGAGAUAUUAUAUGUUGAGUUCACAUAUAGUGUGGCAACACACUCUGUUGUAUGAUCAUGAUACUUCAAACAGCCAUGGCAGUCAUCCCUCCUGCCACUUGGGAUCAAAUUGGUAUGCAUGGCUCUAAAUGCCAACGGAAUCCUUACCGAUGUCUUUUAUAUAUGCUUCUGCCAAUUUUCUGAGAUGUGUUUUGCCAUCCAUAACCAUUUUGAUGUCACAUCAUGCUGCAUCGUGCCACUAGAGAAGAGAUUUCUGUAGAUGGUUCUACAUGUCCUCUAAAAAAGUCUUGAGAAGCCCGAUGCAUUGGUAUAUCCUAGAUCUAUGAUGCCACAGGCAACCAGGUCAUCAGUAAUCUGACUGCUACUUUAGACUUGAUUAAUGACAUGUGUGAUCCCAACUGCCAAGGGAAGUGUAUCGACAUCAUUCAUCCAUGCUUGCCUUGGUAAACAAGAUUGAGAUCCAUAGUCACUAUUGUCUUUGGAGAGCUAUCUGAUGUCUGGGAUCCUUCAGCCAGAAGAAUCUAUUGUGAAGGUCAUGACCAGUAAUGCCACCUAAGUUCGUAAUGAGGUAAAGGAUGUGUGCUGCUACUGGAGAUGCCUUUGAGGCUUAUGAUCUUACGUGCAUCCUGAGGCUACAUUGAUGUUGGUGCUUCAUGCUGUAACCUGCAAUCAUGAUGGAAUCCAUUGUUCCCAUUGCUGAUGGAGCCUUUGGUGAUGGUUAUGAUCUUUCUUGUUGCUUGAGAAUCUGAUGAAUUCCAAAGUCUAUGUUGAUGCCAGUAGUCAUAUUGAGAGUAAAUGUUUCUGUACAUGGUCAUACCUGUACUGAAACUAUCUUGAUGUCCCUGAUCCUACCUGGCAACAUUCACCAGAAUAUAUCCUAGAUCCCUGUUGCUACAGGCAACCACUUGUGAGUGAUGUGGAUUGCCACUUUUGAAUAGAUUGAUGAUAUAUGUGAUCCCAAUUGCCAAGGAAAAUUGUACUCACCCAUGCUGCCACUGCUAACCACGUUGAAACCCAUAGUCUGUGUGGUCAUUGAAGAGCUCCAGGAUGUCUGUGAUCCUUCAUCCAGUAGAGUCUAUUGUGAAGUUGCUGGUCAGUACUGCUUCCUAAGGGCAUCAUGAGGUAAGUGCUGUGUACUGCUACUGGAGACCAUUUCAUGUGCAUGAUCCUACCUGGAACCGGAAGCUAUGCUGAUACCAGUACUGAAUGCGGUGAGCAGCAAUCAUGAUGGAAUCAUGGUUCAUGUUGCUGAUGGAAUCCGAGAUGGUGGCUAUGAUCUGCACUGCUGCUUGAGAACACCUUAAGUUGAAGUGUCCAUAUGCACUCAAGGCCAUAUUGAGGCCUGCAGUAGUCAUGGAACUGAACACUGGUGCUUCUUGGGACCACAGUGAUAUGUGUGUUUUCAACUAUAGUUGGAGUCUAUUGUGAUGUCAUGGAUCAGAUCAUUGCUCAACCAUGUUGAGAUCCAUAGUUAGUUUUUGUCUUGGAAGAACUCGCUGAUGUCUAAGAUUCCUCAUUCCAGAGGGGUUGAUAGUGCUGUUCAUGAUUGAUAGUCAAGUGGAAGGUCUUAAUGAGGUAAAUGUUGUGUGCUGCUCCUGGAUACACCUGUGAUACCUGUGAUACUACCUACAACCUGAAGUUAUGUUGAUGGCAGUGCUACAUGAUAUGGCCAGCAAUCAUGAUAGAAUCCGCUGCUCCUCUUCUUGAUGGAGACCAUGAGGCCAGAAGAACAUGUGGUGAUGUUGUGGGUCAAUACUGCUGCCUCAGGUCAUGUUAAAUGGCAUGUUUUGAGAUAUUAUAUGUUGAGUUCACAUAUAGUGUGGCAACACACUCUGUUGUAUGAUCAUGAUACUUCAAACAGCCAUGGCAGUCAUCCCUCCUGCCACUUGGGAUCAAAUUGGUAUGCAUGGCUCUAAAUGCCAACGGAAUCCUUACCGAUGUCUUUUAUAUAUGCUUCUGCCAAUUUUCUGAGAUGUGUUUUGCCAUCCAUAACCAUUUUGAUGUCACAUCAUGCUGCAUCGUGCCACUAGAGAAGAGGUUUCUGUAGAUGGUUCUACAUGUCCUCUAAAAAAGUCUUGAGAAGCCCGAUGCAUUGGUAUAUCCUAGAUCUAUGAUGCCACAGGCAACCAGGUCAUCAGUAAUCUGACUGCUACUUUAGACUUGAUUAAUGACACGUGUGAUCCCAACUGCCAAGGGAAGUGUAUCGACAUCAUUCAUCCAUGCUUGCCUUGGUAAACAAGGUUGAGAUCCAUAGUCACUAUUGUCUUUGGAGAGCUAUCUGAUGUCUGGGAUCCUUCAGCCAGAAGAAUCUAUUGUGAAGGUCAUGACCAGUAAUGCCACCUAAGUUCGUAAUGAGGUAAAGGAUGUGUGCUGCUACUGGAGAUGCCUUUGAGGCUUAUGAUCUUACGUGCAUCCUGAGGCUACAUUGAUGUUGGUGCUUCAUGCUGUAACCAGCAAUCAUGAUGAAAUCCUUUGUUCCCAUUGCUGAUGGAGCCUUUGGUGAUGGUUAUGAUCUUUCUUGUUGCUUGAGAAUCUGAUGAAUUCCAAAGUCCAUGUUGAUGCCAGUAGUCAUAUUGGGGUAAGUAGGUAAGUAUGCAAAGCUGUCAUUGGAGAUCACAAUGCUAUCUAAGAUCCUCCCUGCCACAAGAAAUUCUUUUGAUGUCCCUGAUGCAUGUAUGUAGAGCCUGCUGUCAUCCAUAUAAUGUAAAAGAUCUCCACUGCCACCAAAGGAGGUAGUGAUGUCAAGGAUCUAUACUGCCACUGAGGAAGAUAUUUAUGAACAUAAUUUAUUCUUCCCUGUGAAUUGAUGCCGAUGUCACUGACAUAUACCUGUCAAUAGAUACUGUUUUAUUCCCCAAGAUCCAUGUGCCAAUGGCAGCCCUGUCAGUGAUCCCAGAUACCACUGGGAACCAUGUUAAUACCACUAAUCCAAAGUGCCUAUAGAAACAAGGAUGAUAUGGUUCAUCCAUGCUGCUGACAGUGGCCAAGUUGAAAUCUACAGUCAGUGAUUCUUUUGAAAUCAUUGUUAUUAUCAGGCAUCCCUGGGAUCAGUAGAGUCUACCAGCAAGGCUAAUGAAGCUGCCUCAGUUCAGAUUGAGCUGCAUUUUCUGAGAUAAGUUAUAUUGAAGUCAUAUAGUGGAAAAACAUACUAUUGUAUGUCCAUGAGAAGUUAGAGUUGCAGGAGCCAGGAUAUCAGUGAUUUCCUGUUGCCUCUUAUGACCACCUUAAUUUGUCUCUGGCUGCCAAUAGAAUUUUUACUUCUGUAAGUAUUGCAUACUUCUGAACAAGUUAAGAGGAGUGUCCGGCAAUCCAUACACAUUUUGAUGUAAUGAUGUAUUCUUCCACUAGAGUAAAUGUUUCUGUACAUGGUCAUACCUGUACUGAAACUAUCUUGAUGUCCCUGAUCCUACCUGGCAACAUUCACCAGAAUAUAUCCUAGAUCCCUGUUGCUACAGGCAACCACUUGUGAGUGAUGUGGAUUGCCACUUUUGAGUAGAUUGAUGAUAUAUGUGAUCCCAAUUGCCAAGGAAAAUUGUACUCACCCAUGCUGCCACUGCUAACCACGUUGAAACCCAUAGUCUGUGUGGUCAUUGAAGAGCUCCAGGAUGUCUGUGAUCCUUCAUCCAGUAGAGUCUAUUGUGAAGUUGCUGGUCAGUACUGCUUCCUAAGGGCAUCAUGAGGUAAGUGCUGUGUACUGCUACUGGAGACCAUUUCAUGUGCAUGAUCCUACCUGGAACCGGAAGCUAUGCUGAUACCAGUACUGAAUGCGGUGAGCAGCAAUCAUGAUGGAAUCAUGGUUCAUGUUGCUGAUGGAAUCCGAGAUGGUGGCUAUGAUCUGCACUGCUGCUUGAGAACACCUUAAGUUGAAGUGUCCAUAUGCACUCAAGGCCAUAUUGAGGCCUGCAGUAGUCAUGGAACUGAACACUGGUGCUUCUUGGGACCACAGUGAUAUGUGUGUUUUCAACUAUAGUUGGAAUCUAUUGUGAUGUCAUGGAUCAGAUCAUUGCUCAACCAUGUUGAGAUCCAUAGUUAGUUUUUGUCUUGGAAGAACUCGCUGAUGUCUAAGAUUCCUCAUUCCAGAGGGGUUGAUAGUGCUGUUCAUGAUUGAUAGUCAAGUGGAAGGUCUUAAUGAGGUAAAUGUUGUGUGCUGCUCCUGGAUACACCUGUGAUACCUGUGAUACUACCUACAACCUGAAGUUAUGUUGAUGGCAGUGCUACAUGAUAUGGCCAGCAAUCAUGAUAGAAUCCACUGCUCCUCUUCUUGAUGGAGACCAUGAGGCCAGAAGAACAUGUGGUGAUGUUGUGGGUCAAUACUGCUGCCUCAGGUCAUGUUAAAUGGCAUGUUUUGAGAUAUUAUAUGUUGAGUUCACAUAUAGUGUGGCAACACACUCUGUUGUAUGAUCAUGAUACUUCAAACAGCCAUGGCAGUCAUCCCUCCUGCCUCUUGGGAUCAAAUUGGUAUGCAUGGCUCUAAAUGCCAACGGAAUCCUUACCGAUGUCUUUUAUAUAUGCUUCUGCCAAUUUUCUGAGAUGUGUUUUGCCAUCCAUAACCAUUUUGAUGUCACAUCAUGCUGCAUCGUGCCACUAGAGAAGAGGUUUCUGUAGAUGGUUCUACAUGUCCUCUAAAAAAGUCUUGAGAAGCCCGAUGCAUUGGUAUAUCCUAGAUCUAUGAUGCCACAGGCAACCAGGUCAUCAGUAAUCUGACUGCUACUUUAGACUUGAUUAAUGACAUGUGUGAUCCCAACUGCCAAGGGAAGUGUAUCGACAUCAUUCAUCCAUGCUUGCCUUGGUAAACAAGGUUGAGAUCCAUAGUCACUAUUGUCUUUGGAGAGCUAUCUGAUGUCUGGGAUCCUUCAGCCAGAAGAAUCUAUUGUGAAGGUCAUGACCAGUAAUGCCACCUAAGUUUUAAUGAGGUAAAGGAUGUGUGCUGCUACUGGAGAUGCCUUUGAGGCUUAUGAUCUUACGUGCAUCCUGAGGCUACAUUGAUGUUGGUGCUUCAUGCUGUAACCUGCAAUCAUGAUGGAAUCCAUUGUUCCCAUUGCUGAUGGAGCCUUUGGUGAUGGUUAUGAUCUUUCUUGUUGCUUGAGAAUCUGAUGAAUUCCAAAGUCCAUGUUGAUGCCAGUAGUCAUAUUGAGGUAAGUAGGUAAGUAUGCAAAGCUGUCAUUGGAGAUCACAAUGCUAUCUAAGAUCCUCCCUGCCACAAGAAAUUCUUUUGAUGUCCCUGAUGCAUGUAUGUAGAGCCUGCUGUCAUCCAUAUAAUGUAAAAGAUCUCCACUGCCACCAAAGGAGGUAGUGAUGUCAAGGAUCUAUACUGCCACUGAGGAAGAUAUUUAUGAACAUAAUUUAUUCUUCCCUGUGAAUUGAUGCCGAUGUCACUGACAUAUACCUGUCAAUAGAUACUGUUUUAUUCCCCAAGAUCCAUGUGCCAAUGGCAGCCCUGUCAGUGAUCCCAGAUACCACUGGGAACCAUGUUAAUACCACUAAUCCAAAGUGCCUAUAGAAACAAGGAUGAUAUGGUUCAUCCAUGCUGCUGACAGUGGCCAAGUUGAAAUCUACAGUCAGUGUUUCUUUUGAAAUCAUUGUUAUUAUCAGGCAUCCCUGGGAUCAGUAGAGUCUACCAGCAAGGCUAAUGAAGCUGCCUCAGUUCAGAUUGAGCUGCAUUUUCUGAGAUAAGUUAUAUUGAAGUCAUAUAGUGGAAAAACAUACUAUUGUAUGUCCAUGAGAAGUUAGAGUUGCAGGAGCCAUGAUAUCAGUGAUUUCCUGUUGCCUCUUAUGACCACCUUAAUUUGUCUCUGGCUGCCAAUAGAAUUUUUACUUCUGUAAGUAUUGCAUACUUCUGAACAAGUUAAGAGGAGUGUCCGGCAAUCCAUACACAUUUUGAUGUAAUGAUGUAUUCUUCCACUAGAGUAAAUGUUUCUGUACAUGGUCAUACCUGUACUGAAACUAUCUUGAUGUCCCUGAUCCUACCUGGCAACAUUCACCAGAAUAUAUCCUAGAUCCCUGUUGCUACAGGCAACCACUUGUGAGUGAUGUGGAUUGCCACUUUUGAGUAGAUUGAUGAUAUAUGUGAUCCCAAUUGCCAAGGAAAAUUGUACUCACCCAUGCUGCCACUGCUAACCACGUUGAAACCCAUAGUCUGUGUGGUCAUUGAAGAGCUCCAGGAUGUCUGUGAUCCUUCAUCCAGUAGAGUCUAUUGUGAAGUUGCUGGUCAGUACUGCUUCCUAAGGGCAUCAUGAGGUAAGUGCUGUGUACUGCUACUGGAGACCAUUUCAUGUGCAUGAUCCUACCUGGAACCGGAAGCUAUGCUGAUACCAGUACUGAAUGCGGUGAGCAGCAAUCAUGAUGGAAUCAUGGUUCAUGUUGCUGAUGGAAUCCGAGAUGGUGGCUAUGAUCUGCACUGCUGCUUGAGAACACCUUAAGUUGAAGUGUCCAUAUGCACUCAAGGCCAUAUUGAGGCCUGCAGUAGUCAUGGAACUGAACACUGGUGCUUCUUGGGACCACAGUGAUAUGUGUGUUUUCAACUAUAGUUGGAAUCUAUUGUGAUGUCAUGGAUCAGAUCAUUGCUCAACCAUGUUGAGAUCCAUAGUUAGUUUUUGUCUUGGAAGAACUCGCUGAUGUCUAAGAUUCCUCAUUCCAGAGGGGUUGAUAGUGCUGUUCAUGAUUGAUAGUCAAGUGGAAGGUCUUAAUGAGGUAAAUGUUGUGUGCUGCUCCUGGAUACACCUGUGAUACCUGUGAUACUACCUACAACCUGAAGUUAUGUUGAUGGCAGUGCUACAUGAUAUGGCCAGCAAUCAUGAUAGAAUCCACUGCUCCUCUUCUUGAUGGAGACCAUGAGGCCAGAAGAACAUGUGGUGAUGUUGUGGGUCAAUACUGCUGCCUCAGGUCAUGUUAAAUGGCAUGUUUUGAGAUAUUAUAUGUUGAGUUCACAUAUAGUGUGGCAACACACUCUGUUGUAAGAUCAUGAUACUUCAAACAGCCAUGGCAGUCAUCCCUCCUGCCUCUUGGGAUCAAAUUGGUAUGCAUGGCUCUAAAUGCCAACGGAAUCCUUACCGAUGUCUUUUAUAUAUGCUUCUGCCAAUUUUCUGAGAUGUGUUUUGCCAUCCAUAACCAUUUUGAUGUCACAUCAUGCUGCAUCGUGCCACUAGAGAAGAGGUUUCUGUAGAUGGUUCUACAUGUCCUCUAAAAAAGUCUUGAGAAGCCCGAUGCAUUGGUAUAUCCUAGAUCUAUGAUGCCACAGGCAACCAGGUCAUCAGUAAUCUGACUGCUACUUUAGACUUGAUUAAUGACAUGUGUGAUCCCAACUGCCAAGGGAAGUGUAUCGACAUCAUUCAUCCAUGCUUGCCUUGGUAAACAAGGUUGAGAUCCAUAGUCACUAUUGUCUUUGGAGAGCUAUCUGAUGUCUGGGAUCCUUCAGCCAGAAGAAUCUAUUGUGAAGGUCAUGACCAGUAAUGCCACCUAAGUUUUAAUGAGGUAAAGGAUGUGUGCUGCUACUGGAGAUGCCUUUGAGGCUUAUGAUCUUACGUGCAUCCUGAGGCUACAUUGAUGUUGGUGCUUCAUGCUGUAACCUGCAAUCAUGAUGGAAUCCAUUGUUCCCAUUGCUGAUGGAGCCUUUGGUGAUGGUUAUGAUCUUUCUUGUUGCUUGAGAAUCUGAUGAAUUCCAAAGUCCAUGUUGAUGCCAGUAGUCAUAUUGAGGUAAGUAGGUAAGUAUGCAAAGCUGUCAUUGGAGAUCACAAUGCUAUCUAAGAUCCUCCCUGCCACAAGAAAUUCUUUUGAUGUCCCUGAUGCAUGUAUGUAGAGCCUGCUGUCAUCCAUAUAAUGUAAAAGAUCUCCACUGCCACCAAAGGAGGUAGUGAUGUCAAGGAUCUAUACUGCCACUGAGGAAGAUAUUUAUGAACAUAAUUUAUUCUUCCCUGUGAAUUGAUGCCGAUGUCACUGACAUAUACCUGUCAAUAGAUACUGUUUUAUUCCCCAAGAUCCAUGUGCCAAUGGCAGCCCUGUCAGUGAUCCCAGAUACCACUGGGAACCAUGUUAAUACCACUAAUCCAAAGUGCCUAUAGAAACAAGGAUGAUAUGGUUCAUCCAUGCUGCUGACAGUGGCCAAGUUGAAAUCUACAGUCAGUGUUUCUUUUGAAAUCAUUGUUAUUAUCAGGCAUCCCUGGGAUCAGUAGAGUCUACCAGCAAGGCUAAUGAAGCUGCCUCAGUUCAGAUUGAGCUGCAUUUUCUGAGAUAAGUUAUAUUGAAGUCAUAUAGUGGAAAAACAUACUAUUGUAUGUCCAUGAGAAGUUAGAGUUGCAGGAGCCAUGAUAUCAGUGAUUUCCUGUUGCCUCUUAUGACCACCUUAAUUUGUCUCUGGCUGCCAAUAGAAUUUUUACUUCUGUAAGUAUUGCAUACUUCUGAACAAGUUAAGAGGAGUGUCCGGCAAUCCAUACACAUUUUGAUGUAAUGAUGUAUUCUUCCACUAGAGUAAAUGUUUCUGUACAUGGUCAUACCUGUACUGAAACUAUCUUGAUGUCCCUGAUCCUACCUGGCAACAUUCACCAGAAUAUAUCCUAGAUCCCUGUUGCUACAGGCAACCACUUGUGAGUGAUGUGGAUUGCCACUUUUGAGUAGAUUGAUGAUAUAUGUGAUCCCAAUUGCCAAGGAAAAUUGUACUCACCCAUGCUGCCACUGCUAACCACGUUGAAACCCAUAGUCUGUGUGGUCAUUGAAGAGCUCCAGGAUGUCUGUGAUCCUUCAUCCAGUAGAGUCUAUUGUGAAGUUGCUGGUCAGUACUGCUUCCUAAGGGCAUCAUGAGGUAAGUGCUGUGUACUGCUACUGGAGACCAUUUCAUGUGCAUGAUCCUACCUGGAACCGGAAGCUAUGCUGAUACCAGUACUGAAUGCGGUGAGCAGCAAUCAUGAUGGAAUCAUGGUUCAUGUUGCUGAUGGAAUCCGAGAUGGUGGCUAUGAUCUGCACUGCUGCUUGAGAACACCUUAAGUUGAAGUGUCCAUAUGCACUCAAGGCCAUAUUGAGGCCUGCAGUAGUCAUGGAACUGAACACUGGUACUUCUUGGGACCACAGUGAUAUGAGUGUUUUCAACUAUAGUUGGAAUCUAUUGUGAUGUCAUGGAUCAGAUCAUUGCUCAACCAUGUUGAGAUCCAUAGUUAGUUUUUGUCUCGGAAGAACUCGCUGAUGUCUAAGAUUCCUCAUUCCAGAGAGGUUGAUAGUGCUGUUCAUGAUUGAUAGUCAAGUGGAAGGUCUUAAUUAGGUAAAUGUUGUGUGCUGCUCCUGGAUACACCUGUGAUACCUGUGAUACUACCUACAACCUGAAGUUAUGUUGAUUGCAGUGCUACAUGAUAUGGCCAGCAAUCAUGAUAGAAUCCACUGCUCCUCUUCUUGAUGGAGACCAUGAGGCCAGAAGAACAUGUGGUGAUGUUGUGGGUCAAUACUGCUGCCUCAGGUCAUGUUAAAUGGCAUGUUUUGAGAUAUUAUAUGUUGAGUUCACAUAUAGUGUGGCAACACACUCUGUUGUAUGAUCAUGAUACUUCAAACAGCCAUGGCAGUCAUCCCUCCUGCCUCUUGGGAUCAAAUUGAUAUGCAUGGCUCUAAAUGCCAACGGAAUCCUUACCGAUGUCUUUUAUAUAUGCUUCUGCCAAUUUUCUGAGAUGUGUUUUGCCAUCCAUAGCCAUUUUGUUGUCUCAUCAUGUUGCAUCGUGCCACUAGAGAAGAAGUUUCUGUACAUGCUCGUUCCUGACCUCUGAAACUGUCUCAAUUUCCUUUGUACCUCCUGGCAAUAGAAUCCAUGACAUAGAGAUCUCUGCUGCCAACAAAAAACAGUUUGGGAGUAAUCCCUACUCCCACUUUGAACCAGAUUGAUGAUAUCAAACAUCCCAACAACCAAGGGAAAUAUAUUGAUAUCACUUAUCCAUGCCCCCACUGGUAACCAUAUUGAGAUACCCAGUUUUGUCUUUGAAGAGCUCUAUGAGGUCUGUGAUCCCUUAGCUAGAAGAGCCUAUUAUGAAGUUCAUGGUUAGUAUUGCUGCGUAUUGUCAUCAUGAGGUAAGUGCUGUAUGCCGCUUCUGGAGUCAUGUUUGGUGCCUGUGAAGCUAUCUGCAACCCAAGGCUGUGUUGAUGGCAGUGCUGCAUUCUGUGAUAGAAAUCAUGAUGGAGUCCAUUGUUCCUAUUGCUGAUGGAGACCUUGGUGAUGGCUAUUAUCUGUCAUGCUGCUUGAGGACAUGCCAAAUUCUAAGGUCUGUACUGACACUUGGGGUCAUAUUGAGGUAAGUGUUCUGAGUUAGCAAUGGAGAUCAGACUAAUGUCUGAGAUCCUACCUGACACAGGAUAUUUGUUUGAUAACCCUGAUGUUUGCAUGUAGUCCCUGCUAUGGACCAUGUGUUCAUUGAUAGAUACACCAUGGGAAGAAACACCAUUGUAUUUCUACGUUUUUACGUGGCUCAGGCAGCCAUUUUGUCAGUCAUCCUUUCUCCUACUUGUCACCACAUUAAUCUGAUAUUUUCCAACUGCCAUUGGAAUCUAUACUGAUGUCGGUGAUGCGUGCUUUUGUCAUCUGUGAAAUAUUUGUUGACAGUUAUACUCUCAACCUAUAACAAAUGUGAUGUCAAUGAUCUAUCCUGACACUAUAGAUGUGCUUUGUGUUCACUGUUCUACCCUCUCUAUGAAACUAUUGUGAUGUUCCUAGUACUUCCUGGAAAUAAACACCAUGGUAUAUGCAAGAUCCCUGAUGCCAUAGGCAACUGGGAAUUUAAUGAUCCUUCCUGACACACUGGACCACAAUGUGAUAUCAAUCAUCCUAUCUGCUAAGAGAAAUAUGAUGAUGUCACUAAUCUACUGUGCCAUUUUAUAGCCCCAUUGAUAUCCAUAGUCAGUAUUGUCUCUAAAGAGCUUGGUAAUAUCUAUGUUCACUGUGUCCAGAAGUGUUAAUUGUAAAAUUCAUUGACAGUAUCCAUAGCUUCUAUUUCCUAAUAAAAUCCCGUUGGAGGUAGUGAUCGGUGCUGCUGCAUGUGAACAGGUUUAAUUCCUAAGUUCAUACUGAUAUGUAUGGUCACAUUAAAUUAAGUGUUCUUAGCUUGCACUAGGGAUCAUAUUGAUGUCUCUGAUUCUACAUGCCACAGGAACCUGUGCUGAUGUCUCUGAUAACAUGCAUGUUUUUUUCUUUUUGUAGACCUUUUUAUGAGUAAUAUCCUUGCUGAUGCCAGAAGAGCUAUUCGUGUCAUCGAUCGCUCCUGCCACUGGAGAAGAGGUUUAUGUCCAUAAUUACUUCUGCCCUCUGAAUAGACACUGAUGUCAGUGAUACAGCUGUCAACGGACACCAUACUAUAUCCAGGAUCCAUGAUGCCAAAAAUAAACAACAUAUUAGUAAUUUUUGCUGACAUAUUGGGCCAGGAUGAUGAUACUAUUGAUCCCAACCACCAACAAAAACAUAACGAUAUCACUCAUCCAUGCUGCUAACUGUAAAUAUGUUGAUACCCAUAGACAUUGCUGCCUCUGAAGACCUUGGUGAUAUCUGUCAUACUUGGUGCUUGAAGAGUCUGUUUUGAAAUUCUUGGUCAAUACUGCUGCAUAAGUCAUGUUGACCUAAGUGUUUUGUGAUGCAACCAGAGAUGGGUUUCAUGUCUGUGACCUGACUUGCAACCUGAAACAGUUUUGAUGUCAGUGUUUCUUGCUGUCAUCAGUAAUCAUGGUGGCAUUUGCUGUUCCUACUAAGAUACAACAAAACACAUGAAUGUAUGAAAUGCCUGCAAUGUAUGCAUCUAGGCCCUGCUGUUGACUAUAUUACAUAUAUGAUCCUUACUAUAACUAGAAGAACUAUUGAUGUCAAUGAUCCAUCCUGUCAAUGGAAAAGAUUUCUAUGUUAAUAUUCUCUCCUGACCUCUGAAUCUAUGCUGAUGUCAGUGAAACACAUAGAAACAGAUGCUAUGUUAUCACCCAACACCCAUGCUGACACAGGCAACCUUAACUUCAGUGAUUCCUGCUUCAACUGAGUACCACGUUAAUAUCACUAAUCCAAAGCACCUCCAGAAAAUAUGUUGAUGUCCAUCAUCCGUGGUGACACUAGUAACUAUGUGGAAUGCUAUAGUCCAUGUAGCUUCUGAAGAGAUUGUUAAUGUCUAGGAAACCUGUGACUACCAGAGUCUAGGGUGAAGUCCAUAGUCAAUCCUGCUAACUAAGGUUAUGUUGGGUUAACGUUUCUAUGAUAUGAAGAAGUCAGUGAUACACUGUGGCAAGAGACAUCAUUUUAUGUUCAUGAACAGUGAUGCCACUAGCAGCCAUAAUGUCAGUGACUGCUGAUGAAACAUGGGGCCACAUUGAGUGAUGACAACUUACAUCAGAAUCUAUACUGAAGUCAGUGAUCUUUUUUUCUGCCAUCUAAGACCAUGCUAUGUAUGAAAUAUGUGCUGUGUGCUGUAUCCUUUUUGAUGUCAAGAAUCCAUUCUGCUAUUACAGAAGUUUCUGUACAUUGUCUGACUUUUCCUCUCUACAGGUCUAACCUAUGUUGAUGUCACUGAUACCUCCUAGGAGCAAGCACCAUGGUAUAUUCUAGAUCACUGUUCCCUCUGUCUCACAAGCAACCAUGAUGGUGCCCAUUGUUCUUAUUGAGAUCCUGCCUGCCACAGAAAAGUGUGGUGAUAUCCGUGAUAUGUGAAUGUAGACCCUGCUAUACACCAUGUCAUGUAUAAAAUCCUACUACUAUAACCCAAAAGAUGCCCCAACAUAUAAAAAAGACACGUGCUCCACUAUGUUCAUAGCAGCCAUAUUUAUAAUAGCCAGAAGCUGGAAAGAACGCAGAUGCCCUUCAACAGAGGACUGGAUACAGAAAAUGUGGUACAUCUACACAAUGGAAUAUUACUCAGCUAUCAAAAAUAAUGACUUUAUGAAAUUCGUAGGCAAAUGGCUGGAACUGGAAAAUAUCAUCCUGAGUGAGGUAACCCAAUCACAGAAAAACACACAUGGUAUGCACUCACUGAUAAGUGGCUAUUAGCCCAAAUGCUUGAAUUACCCUAGAUGCCUAAACAAAUGAAACUCAAGACGGAUGAUCAAAAUGUGAAUGCUUCACUCCUUCUUUAAAAGGGGAACAAGAAUACCCUUGGCAGGGAAUAAAGAGGCAAAGAUUAAAACAGACACAGAAGGAACACCCAUUCAGAGCCUGCCUCACAUGUGGCCCAUACAUAUACAGCCAUCCAAUUAGACAAGAUGGAUGAAGCAAAGAAGUGCAGACCGACAGGAGCCAGAUGUAGAUCGCUCCUGAGAGACACAGCCAGAAUACAGCAAAUACAGAGGCGAAUGCCAGCAGCAAACCACUGAACUGAGAACGGGACCCCGUUGAAGGAAUCAGAGAAAGAACUGGAAGAGCUUGAAGGAGCUCGAGACCCCUUAUGAACAACAAUGCCAAGCAACCAGAGCUUCCAGGGACUAAGCCACUACCUAAAGACUGUACAUGGACUGACCGUGGACUCUGACCUCAUAGGUAGCAAUGAAUAUCCUAGUAAAAGCACCAGUGGAAGGGGAAGCCCUGGGUCCUGCUAAGACUGAACCCCCAGUGAACUAGACUAUGGGGGGGAGGGCGG